rnacentral:rRNA from 1 species
UACGUAGGGUGCAAGCGUUAAUCGGAAUUACUGGGCGUAAAGCGUGCGCAGGCGGUUGUGCAAGACCGAUGUGAAAUCCCCGGGCUUAACCUGGGAAUGGCAUUGGUGACUGCACGGCUAGAGUGUGUCAGAGGGGGGUAGAAUUCCACGUGUAGCAGUGAAAUGCGUAGAGAUGUGGAGGAAUACCGAUGGCGAAGGCAGCCCCCUGGGAUAACACUGACGCUCAUGCACGAAA